rnacentral:rRNA from 1 species
AUUGAACGCUGGCGGCAGGCCUAACACAUGCAAGUCGAGCGAGCGGCGGACGGGUGAGUAAUGUCUGGGAAACUGCCUGAUGGAGGGGGCUAACUACUGGAAACGGUAGCUAAUACCGCAUACCAUCAGAUGUGCCCAGAUGGGAUGAGCUAGUAGGUGGGGUAACGGCUCACUUAGGCGACGAUCCCUAGCUGGUCUGAGAGGAUGACCAACCACCCUGGAGCGACGACACGGUCCGAGCUCCUACGGUGAGGAGCAGUGGGUAAUAUUGCACAAUGGGGUCAAGCCUGAUGCAGCCAUGCCGCGUGUGGGAAGAAGGCCUUCGGGUUUUAAAGCACUUUCAGCGGGUGGGCGUUACCCGCAGGAGAAGCACCGACUAAAUCCGUGCCAGCAGCCGCGGUAAUAC